rnacentral:rRNA from 1 species
UACGGAGGGGGCUAGCGUUGUUCGGAAUUACUGAGCGUAAGGCACACAUAGGCGGACUGGAAAGUCAGGGGUGAAAUCCCGGGGCUCAACCCCGGAACUGCCUUUGAAACUCCCGGUCUUGAGGUCGAAAGAGGUGAGUGGAAUUCCAAGUAUAGAGGUGAAAUUCGUAGAUAUUCGGAGGAACACCAGUGGCGAAGGCGGCUCACUGGCUCGAUACUGACGCUGAGGUGCGAAAGCGUGGGGAGCAAACAGG